UGGCAUAUAGAAGUUCCCAUGCUAGGAACUGAAUCAGAGCUACAGCUGCCAGACUACACCACAGCCAUAGCAACGUGGGAUCAGAGACAUAUCUGUGACCUACACCACAGCUCAUAGCAAUGUCAUAUCCUUAACCCACUGAGUGAGGCCAGGAAUCGAACCCAUCAGCAGGUGCAACCUCCUUUCCACAGAUGAGAAUAUGACUUGUCCAUAGUGACACCGCUGGAAAAGAAUUCAAACUAAGGUCCAUUCUUUACUGCAUAUAUAUAGCUCUCCUGCCAAGAUAUUGCUUGAGAUCUAGAACUAAGAAAUUACGUCUUAUUCUAAGUCCUUUUUACUUAAGUUGGCUUUCACAAUCCCUCACAUCCUAAAAUUUUAUGACUAUGUAUACUUAAGUAUAAACCUAAUCCUAUAGACAAAAAUACUUAAUUUUUUCAUAAUUUUUAUGAACUUCCAUAUGCUGCAGGUGCAGCCAUAGAAAAGGAAAAAGGAAAAAAAAGGAGAUGUGGAACACAUAUACAACGGAAUAUAACUCAGCCAUAAAAAAGAGCAAAAUAAUGCCAUCUGCAGGAACAUGGAUGCAACCAGAAUUUCUCAUACUAAGUGAAGUAGGUCAGAAAGAGAAAGAUAAACACCAUAUGAUAUCACUUAUAUGUGGAAUCUAAAAUACGGCACAAAAUGAACCUAUACAAAACAGAAACAGACUCAGACAUGGAGAACAGAUUUGUGGUUACCAAGGGGGAGGGAGUGGGAUGGACUGAGAGUUUGGGGUUAGUAGAUGCAAACUAUUACAUUUAGAAUGGAUAGAUAAUGAGGUCCUACUAUACAGCACAGGGAACUGUGUGCAAUCUUGUAGGAUAGACCAUGAUGGGGAAUGACAUGAGAAAAACAAUGUGUGUGUGUGUGUAUAAAUGACUGGGUCACUUUGCUGUACAGCAGAAGUUGGCACAACAUUGUGAGUCAACUGUACUUUAAAUUUUUUUUUAUUUAAAAAAAGAAUGUUGUUGAAACAAAGCAUAAAGCUGAGUGCUCUAGAGACAAAAGGGAAAGCAAAACACUGAUCUAGCCUAAGACAGUUUAUGAUGAAGGGAAGAAAACUUAUACAGAAUGAAAAUUAUAUGAUAGAAGGUACGAAAAAUGCUCUAAAACCCAAGCACAUAUAUAGCAAAACACACAAAUGCACACAGACAAGCAUAUACCAGAAAAUAAUAAGCUAUUCUAAAUGAUUGAAUAAAAAUAGUGGGAAUUCAAGCUUAUUUGGCCUUUUCUUUUACAAUUCAUAGGCCCACAGAUGGAAAGUCUGAAUAAGAAGUGACCAAGUUAGCCUUAAUUGCAUUUCUUGUUAACUUGACCAGUUUGAUGACUAAUCCAUCUCUAAACUAGAUGGUUUUAUAGGUACACAUUUAGGUUAUCCUACGCCACAUUAAAAAUGCUAUUAAGUUGAUUAAGACUAAACUCAUUUUCAGGAGCCAUUGCAAACAAUUUUCCAUGCUUGAUGUGUACUUGCAAAGGGAAUCUGUGGCAGGUAUUAAUUACACUGCAAGAAAAGCUCAAAAGAAAGUUAGGUGAAUACCAGCAAUGCUGCAGGUUGUAAAGUAAACACUGUACUAGAGUCUUAUAACUAGUGGCAAAUCAAGGAAAAAUGGCCUCAUGAUCUUCUUUAGCUAAUCAGGUCCUCUUUAAUAUAUAAUGGGAUCACGUGUGAAAUUAGAGGUGAAAGGUUGGAGACAAUAUUUUAAAGAGUCUCAAAAAAAAAAAACUUUUAAAGGUUUUCAAGAUUUGGCUUCAUUAGGUUGAACAAAAGGAAAGUGACUCAUUUUUGCCUAAAUGAGCCCAGCUGAAGGAGAAUAUUUAACAAUUUUCACAUAUGUGGAGACAAGUUGAAUGCUUAAUCAUGAGUCAUCCACAGGAAAGAGCAAGGCAUACAUUCCUCCUGACUCUGCCACUCACUCUGCAACCUGGCUCCUACUCCAUCUGGCAAAGGCAAAUUCUAGCCCGCCCUUUCCGUAAGCCCUGUGUAGUUCUUCUCAGUCUCCAUCAUUCCUUCCAUCCUUCUUCCUUAACCUAUUUGUAGAGGACGAUCAUGUUCCUUCCUUUCCUAUUCUACAAGUCCUUCGGCUGCUUUUAGCUUUUGUCUGGGUUUCAACAGUCAGAGCUAUGCUGUGACAUUUAAAUCUGAAUGGAUAGCUCCUUAGCUCUUGAAUUCUCUGUCUGAAUUUUUGAUUCUCUACAUAAAAAUUCCAUAAUCUGAAGUGAAUUCAGAUUCAAUGGGCCAGAAACGGGAUCCAUUCUCACAGCUUCCUACCCUCUGAUCCCCCUGGGUUUCCCACAGCAGCUAUCACCCACGCUGGAAACAUCAAGAUUUGUCAACACUUUGAGGAUAAAACACUCAUAUGAGUCAUCUUCUGCCACCACUCCAAAAUCCCAGCCUUCCUAUUUAUCCAAUUUAGGGCCUCUUACCUACUCUAUCACAAGAGAUUUUUAUUUUGUUUUCUUAUCUCUAGUGUUUCAUAUGUCCAGUCUACCCUUUACACUCCCAUCACGUGUAUACCUGAAAAUAAAGGUAUGUUGUUCAUUUCCCAGAUGGUAAACCUCCCAAGGAUCCCAGGCAUCUAUAGUUCUCAGCUUUCUUUUUUUUUAAUUUUAUUUAAAAAAAAAAUUUUUUUUUUGGCUGCGCCUAUGGAAUGCAUAAGUUCUCAGGCCAGGGAUCCAACCUGUACCACACCAGUGGCCCAAACCAUAGCAGUGAUGAUGCUAGAUCCUUAACCCACAAGGCCACCAGGGAACUCCUAUACCUCUAAGCUUUUAAAAGUUAGAAUUGAGAUUCUCAAUAUCCUAGUCUUGAAUUCCUAUGUUUUUGCCAUCUUAUCUGCGGCAAGCAAACAGAACUUAAUUUAAUUUUCACGUGACUCUAACAUUUUUUACUUUGUCUAAUAUUUGCUCAAAUCGUUCUGUCAGGCUGAAAUGCCAUUUCCUCAUCUUUACCUCUUGAAAUCGUAUUUAGAAUAAAAUUUUUUCAUAAACAAAGCUGAAAAAUGUUUUCUGGCCCAUUCUGGAAUCAAGGACAACAUUUAGACAAAAUUCACAAUGAAAUAUCCAAAACAGAAAAUCUAAACUAAGACCAACCUAACAAAGGAUUAAUGCUUUAAUUGUAGUAAUUCGGUGGCAAAUAAAGAUGAAAAGCAUCACAAAUAGGUUUCAGCACAAGUCUUAGAAGGGCCUUUGAAAUUGAGAGAUGAGCCAGACAAGACGUUAAACUGCUGUGGAUCAUUUUUCUGACACUACGUACUGUGUGUUAAAAUCUCUUCCUAUUGAUUGACUGUGUUACUACGGCCUUAGAAAAUUACAAAAAUUUAAACAAAAUAAUUCCCUUUUUUUCUACCACUCUAAAAUGAUCUCACAAGGAAAUCUAUUCAUGGAUACAUCAUCCAUUUGUUCAUUUAUUUGACAUGAAUCAAAUAGCAUUCCUGUUUGAGAUCAAAUUGUGGAUAAAAAUGAUGGGCUGGUAAAAACCAGAAUCUGAUAAAUGCCGUAAAAAUUGUGUCAUUGACGUUUAAAAGAGAAAGAUCAGUUAUGUAAGCUAAAGUAGUCAGAUAAGCACCAGGGAAAAGGGAACUUUUGAAAUCAAUUCUGAAGAAUGUAUGGUACUUCAAACAAAUAACAAGUUGACAAAUAAAAAGACUGAAAAAAACUCCCCAAAUGAAGUGGAGAAUGUUGGGAUUGUUUGAACAAUGCUUAAAUUCCAACUUAGUAGAGUGGAAAGCAACAUGAAGGAGUAACAGUAAAUACCUGAGAUGAGGAUCUUGGUCCAGCGAUCAUGGAAGGCCUUGAAUGUCAGAUUAAGCAUAGCUUGGACCCCUUUAGCCCAUCAAUGGGGUUUGUGCUUUAGGAGAUGAGUCUGGGAGCAUUUUAGAGGUUAGAGUUUUGGAAUAUAGGGAAUCAUUGAAGGAAAGAUAAAAUGAGGGAUAGCCAAAUAAAGGAAAGUACAUAAGCGAUAUACGACAUAUUCAGUUUUCAGAUCUUGGCAAAUACUUGACUACAUUGAUAAGGUAGAAAGUGAGAGGCCAGAAAAACUGUGAUGUUUCUAACAUUGGUCAAAAGGAGACUGGGGUACCACCAGCAGAAGUCAGAAAAGGAGAGAGAGGGCCAAGUUUAUGGAAAGAAACAUUUUUCCUUGAAAUGCUUUAUGGUGGUGCAAAAUGAGCUACUCGGCUUAAACGGUCCUCCUAGUGGCCCCAAACAUUAAACCUGGUUUCUUCCUACCACUCACUACAAGAGCUUGGAUACUCACACUGGCCCUCCCUCUUGCCUGCUACAGUAUUUUUGCAGCAUGACACCUCAUUCUUCCUAUUCUAGAACUGUUCACUCUGAGUCUGGAAAACUUAAAUCAAACUAGAUGUUUCUAAAGGAGAGGGUAAAACCACAUCAUUGACACAGGGAAUGAAUUCUUUGGGGGUCCUGAAAAGAAGCUUUACCAUUUGACCCAACCCCACAUUAUUCCAAGAGUUACUGAGUCAGGAGAUGAGAGGGAACACCCAUGAGUUCACCUGGAUCAACCAAGUCUUGUAGCUGAAAAAAAGAGGUUUUUAAACAUAUAUCAAAAGCUCUUAAAUGUUUCUAAUUGUGACCUUCUUGCCAAUAAAUUGGAUCAACUAUUCUGCAUUAUCCAUGGUUUUCUUUCUUAAACUAGUUUAUACAGCUCUGCAAAAAAAAAAAAAAAAAAAAAAAAAAAA
rnacentral:lncRNA from 1 species